rnacentral:rRNA from 1 species
GACGAACGCUGGCGGCGUGCCUAACACAUGCAAGUCGAGCGGGGAUUUAAGUGGAAGUUCUUCGGAAUGGAGAUUUAAAUUCUAGCGGCGGACGGGUGAGUAACGCGUGAACAAUCCGUCCCGGACAGGGGGAUAACACUUGGAAACAGGUGCUAAUACCGCAUAAGACCACGGCCUCGCAUGGGGCUGAGGUAAAAGGAGCAAUCCGGUUCGGGGUGAGUUCGCGUCCGAUUAGCUAGUUGGUGAGGUAACGGCCCACCAAGGCGACGAUCGGUAGCCGGCCUGAGAGGGUGAACGGCCACAUUGGAACUGAGAGACGGUCCAAACUCCUACGGGAGGCAGCAGUGGGGAAUAUUGGGCAAUGGGCGAAAGCCUGACCCAGCAACGCCGCGUGAGGGAAGAAGGUUUUCGGAUUGUAAACCUCUGUCCUAUGGGACGAAGGAAGUGACGGGACCAUAGGAGGAAGCCCCGGCUAACUACG